rnacentral:miRNA from 1 species
AUUGGGGACAUUUUGCAUCCAU